rnacentral:tRNA from 1 species
GGGCCCGUGGCCUAGAAUGGAUAUGGCGCCGGCCUCCGGAGCCGGAGAACCCGGGUUCAAAUCCCGGCGGGCCCG